rnacentral:rRNA from 1 species
UACGUAGGUGGCAAGCGUUGUCCGGAAUUACUGGGCGUAAAGGGAGCGUAGGCGGACUUUUAAGUGAGAUGUGAAAUACCCGGGCUCAACCUGGGAGCUGCAUUUCAAACUGGAAGUCUAGAGUGCAGGAGAGGAGAAUGGAAUUCCUAGUGUAGCGGUGAAAUGCGUAGAGAUUAGGAAGAACACCAGUGGCGAAGGCGAUUCUCUGGACUGUAACUGACGCUGAGGAUCGAAAGCGUGGGGAGCAAACAGG